CCUACGGGAGGCAGCAGUGGGGAAUAUUGGGCAAUGGAGGCAACUCUGACCCAGCAACGCCGCGUGAAUGAUGAAGGUCUUCGGAUUGUAAAGUUCUGUGAUGGGGGAUGAACACAAUGACGGUACCCCAAUAGCAAGCCACGGCUAACUACGUGCCAGCAGCCGGGGGAAUACGUAGGUGGCAAGCGUUAUCCGGAAUGACUGGGCGUAAAGGGGGCGUAGGUGGUUUAGUAAGUUGGCGGUCUAAUUCCGGGGCUCAACCUCGGCGCUACCGCCAAAACUAGUAGGCGAGAGUGCAGGAGGGGUAAGUGGAAUUCCGAGUGUAGCGGUGGAAUGGGGAGAUAUUAGGAGGAGCAUCAGGGGCGAGGGCGACUUACUGGACUGUAACUGACACUGAGGCACGAAAGCGUGGGGAGCAAACAGGAUUAGAGACCCGUGUAGUC
rnacentral:rRNA from 1 species